CUGAAUCAGGGGCUAUAUGAUGUCGUAUCAAAACUACUGUUGAUGAAAGGAUCCAUUCCCACUAUUCAGGACCCUCUCCCAAGCAUUGAAACUGGAGCCAUUAGACCUGUUUCCCAGGCCAAUACCUCCCGGAGUAUUGGCUGCCAGACUGACCCCCUUCCUAAAAGAUCUGUUGGAACCCAACUAUCAAAGGACACUCCUAAGACUCGCGUCAGAAGCAGAGACUCUAUCUCUCAGCAUCCCACUUCAAUGAGAAUGCCAACCGGCCACAGUCAACAAGUGCUCUGGGAGAUCCUGCCUUUAAACUGGCCUUCCCUAAAGCGAAGAAAGGGGGAUAAAGCCUUAAAGGAAGGAAAAUUGAGCCAACAUUCUGCUAUGUGUUGUCCCUGACCCAGCACCUUUUACUGAAGAGCUGCAGAAGAUCACCAUUCCAGAGGAUCUCAGCGCUGAGCCAGUCAGAGCUCAGGUUCUUGUUAUUAUCAGACUACUUCUACUACAGUUCAUAUCACUACUGAACAGUAGGUUCUGUCCCAGCUUUCUGCCUGUUAAAAAGGAAGUUUUUCCUCGCCACUGUCACACCAAAUGCUUGCUCUUGGGGUAAUUGU